rnacentral:lncRNA from 1 species
AUGAAGAGACAGAGGAAUAUCCAGCAGGUAAAGGAACAGGAGAAAUGCCCACCAAACCAAACAAAAGAGGAAGAGAUAGGGAAUCUACCUGAGAAAGAAUUCCGAAUAAUGAUAGUGAAAAUGAUCCAAAAUCUUGAAAUCAAAAUGCCUGGAGACAAGGAUUGAAAAGAUGCAAUAAAGGUUUAACAAGGACCUAGAAGAAAUAAAAAAGAGUCAAUAUAUAAUGAAUAAUGCAAUAAAUGAGAUUAAAAACACUCUGGAGGGAACAAAUAGUAGAAUAACUGAGGCAGAAGAUAGGAUUAGUGAGUUAGAAGAUAGAAUGGUAAAAAUAAAAGAAUAGAGAUGCAAAAGGAAAAACGAAAAUUAAAAGAAAUGAGGACAAUCUGAGACCUCCAGGACAAUGUUAAACGCCUCAACAUUCUAAUCAUAGGAGUUCCAAAACACCCAGUGCCAGUAGAUUGGUUUUACUGUGCAUCUGGUGAGAAGACCUGAGUUUGGAUUAGUAACACUCCCCCUCUAAAAU